rnacentral:rRNA from 1 species
AGUGAACGCUGGCGGUAGGCCUAACACAUGCAAGUCGAACGGCAGCACAGGAGAGCUUGCUCUCUGGGUGGCGAGUGGCGGACGGGUGAGGAAUACAUCGGAAUCUACCUUUUCGUGGGGGAUAACGUAGGGAAACUUACGCUAAUACCGCAUACGACCUACGGGUGAAAGUGGGGGACCGCAAGGCCUCACGCGAUUAGAUGAGCCGAUGUCCGAUUAGCUAGUUGGCGGGGUAAUGGCCCACCAAGGCGACGAUCGGUAGCUGGUCUGAGAGGAAGAUCAGCCACACUGGGACUGAGGCACGGUCCAGACACCUACGGGAGGCAGUAGUGGGGAAUAUUGGACAAUGGGCGCAAGCCUGAUCCAGCCAUACCGCGUGGGCGAAGAAGGCCUUCGGGUUGUAAAGCCCUUUUGUUGGGAAAGAAAUCCUGUCGAUUAAUACUCGGUGGGGAUGACGGUACCCAAAGAAUAAGCACCGGCUAACUUCGUGCCAGCCGCCGCGGUAAAAC